rnacentral:rRNA from 1 species
CCUACGGGCGGCUGCAGUGAGGAAUAUUGGUCAAUGGGCUUACGCCUGAACCAGCCAAGUCGCGUGAGGGAAGACUGCCCUAUGGGUUGUAAACUUCUUUUGUCAGGGAGUAACGCCGGCCACGUGUAGCCGUACUGAGAUUAUCUGUAGAUAAAGCAUCGGCUAACUCCGUGCCAGCAGCCGCGGUAAUACGGAGGAUGCGAGCGUUAUCCGGUUUGAUUGGGUUUAAAGGGUGCGUAGGCGGAAUGCCAAGUCAGCGGUAAAAUAGCGGGGCUCAACCUCGCUUUGCAGUUGAGACUGGCGUUCUUGAGUGGGCGUGAAGUAUGCGGAAUGCGUGGUGUAGCGGUGAAAUGCAUAGAUAUCACGCAGAACUCCGAUUGCGAAGGCAGCAUACCGGCGCCCAACUGACGCUGAAGCACGAAAGCGUGGGUAUCGAACAGGAUUAGAUACCCCAGUAGUC